CGGUUGGUGAACCAGCGGAGGGAUCAUUACUGAGUUACCGCUCUAUAACCCUUUGUGAACGUACCUAACCGUUGCUUCGGCGGGCAGGGGAAGCCUCUCGCGGGCCUCCCCUCCCGGCGCCGGCCCCCACCACGGGGACGGGGCGCCCGCCGGAGGAAACCAAACUCUAUUUACACGACGUCUCUUCUGAGUGGCACAAGCAAAUAAUUAAAACUUUUAACAACGGAUCUCUUGGUUCUGGCAUCGAUGAAGAACGCAGCGAAAUGCGAUAAGUAAUGUGAAUUGCAGAAUUCAGUGAAUCAUCGAAUCUUUGAACGCACAUUGCGCUCGCCAGCAUUCUGGCGAGCAUGCCUGUUCGAGCGUCAUUUCAACCCUCAAGCACCGCUUGGUUUUGGGGCCCCACGGCACACGUGGGCCCUUAAAGGUAGUGGCGGACCCUCCCGGAGCCUCCUUUGCGUAGUAACUAACGUCUCGCACUGGGAUCCGGAGGGACUCUUGCCGUAAACCCCCCCAAUUUCUUUACAGGUUGACCUCGGAUCAGGUAGGAAUACCC
rnacentral:rRNA from 1 species